AGACAUCUCUGGGUUUCAGUCAGCGAGGGACUGCACGGGGCUGGGGUCCGACCCUCGCAGUUAUAGGCUGCUCUCGGACCGCGUUGAGAACGGAAGGCGGGGCCUCCCUCCGCCCCGCCCCUCUCCGGGCCGAGACCUGGGCGCCUCGUGGCGGGGCGCGGUCCUCAGUUUCGCUUUGUAAAAGCUGGUUUUUUCGCCCGUGCCUGUUACACUGUUUACCUCGGAAACUGAUCUUUGAGAAUUUCAGUGAAGACGUAUUUUAACAGCAAUAGCACUUGAACGAUUAAAAAAUGCCACUCUGGCAAAUGUGGACGCAAAAGGGAAUUGUUAGCUAUGUGGCCUUGCAACCUUACUUGCCUUUUCUCGAAUGUAAAAUCGGGCUUAUGGCAAGAAAGAACUAUAUAAAGAUAGUUUAUUUUUAGCUACUACUUUAAAUACGUGGAAUCGAAAGGUCUACUGGUGCGUUGGCAAUCACAUCCCUCAGCAAGCCUUGGGUGCGGUUGAGAUGUCCAAACCUCCCUACAGACUCACCUCCAUGUUGAAAGAAAAGGGAACAUCAGAAUGGACUUCAUGCCUCUGCUAUUUCUGAACAUCUUUAGCUCAAAAUCACCCUAUUGCCACAAUGGCGUGCUACAGAAUGACAUGGUCAACACUGAGAGCUUCCUUUUCCUCCAGUACCUCUGUAAUCAGCCCCGAAGACACUAACAGAUGUAUACUGCAGUGAAAUCUAAAUGCCUGCAUUGCUCCCCAGUGCAAAAUGCUCAGCAAGUUGUCUUUUACAAUGUGAAUUUCUUCUAUUCUGAUUUUUUAAAUGCUGCUGAAAUUAAAUUCCUAACCUGAACAGAAUGUAUAGAGCUAAAUAAUGCCAAGUGUUUAGGAAUAGCUCGAUAUUGAAAAGUUUGACACCAUCAGGGUAAAUGAUACACAGUUCAGAAACAUUAGCAUCGUUUUGAUGCUGUCUAUCUAGGAAAAGUAACAACCAUAUAAUGGACGUCACGUUACUCCCAUUUUUCUGAUAAUGGAGGAAUGCAUUUCUCUCAGAUGACAGAGUUUUGAGAAUAAGGCUGGAAUCUGAACCCAAGCAAGCUGGCCUCCAGGAACUCAUCUGUACUACAAGCUGCCAGUCUUACUAUGGUGAGGUUAAGUGUCAUGAACUCUAAGAUAGUGCUAUUCUUUUCUUUUCCCACAUUGGGUAGUUUUGUCAAAGGCCUCAAGUAAACAAAGACUGAAAGCAGAAUCCAUGUUCUGCCCCUGUUGCUGUAGGGGCCUUGUAGAGUCAUGCAGAACCACUGACCUGUCCAUGUGACCCUCAAACCGUAAACUCUUUUACUUUUUCAAUGUUGUCUCAUCACAGCCUGUACCCAAAACACUUUACUCCUACAGAAAAAAUAUAAAGAGAAAAGCAACACCUUAUGAAAGCCAGCACUGCUAUAAUUAGAAAAACAAAAAUACUUGACCUUCAGGGAGGGUCUAGAGCUGGAUGGCAAAGACCAAGGGAUAGGCCUGUUGCAUUCACUCGUCAGCUAAAAUAGAAUAUUACAAAAACCAGUGACAGUCACACAUGAAUUUUAUUGAAAAUGAGAGGCAAGGCAACUGCUCAGGACCGGCAACGGAUCGGGACCAACAAUGCUUACCAAAGUGCGGCCCCCAAUGGUGUGUUACACAACUUCUUAUAGUAUUCUAUCCACUAGGGCUCACAAUUUCGAACCCUUGGUAUGCAGUGACCAAAAAAAGAAACUCAGAAUAUGGUUGUAAGAGAACAGUUAAAUAAUAACAAACCCAGUAACAGAUCCAAGCUAUGGUGGUAAGAUAACAGUGGAGGACACAUUUCGGUCAACCUGGUUCCUGGGAAUUUGGGCCCACAUAGUUUCGCAAGAUCCACCCUUAGCCAUUAGCAAGCAAAGCUAAUAUGUGCAGAAGCAAGAGGGUCUGCAAUUGGCUUUUAGCCACACUCACUCCAUUUUGAUUCUCAUUCUACAGGACAAGUGCCUACAAUAGACCCCAUCUCUGAGCAACAAAUGUCAGUGUCAGGCAGAGUUGCUCUCACCAGUCUAAAAACAAAUGAUGUACAAAACAUGCACGCACAGGAAAGAAAUCCAUUUUCAUUUUUAUAAAAGUUCAAAAAUUAUUGUGUAAAUCUAGGAAUUCUAUUAAAAUCCAGAGUACACACAAAACCAUGAGCACAACUUACUCUAUAG